GGCAUGAUGGCCAAGUGGAAAUGUGUUGUUCUUUUAAACUGAAGAUUAUGGGUUCAAUCCCUGUUUGUGCCU